rnacentral:misc_RNA from 1 species
AAGUCGUAACAAGGUUUCCGUAGGUGAACCUGCGGAAGGAUCAUUAACACGUGAUACCAUCACGUUUCAAACAUCCCGUCGAAUUUGUUUUAUGUCUCAUUCACACUUAGUUGGUAGAGAGGGAAGGGAAGAGCUGUAACAGGUUCUAACUCUCUAUCUCGAUUAGACGUCAUUGUUGAGAUCAAGACUAAGGGUGAAUGUUAAAUGAGUUCUAGUUGACAGGCCCUUCAUCCUUCAACUAGAACACCCUGUUUUACCUUAUACCGUUUUAAUCUGAUACUAGCGCAGUGCUCGUUAAUUCCUAGUGCAAUACACACUGGUUGAGUAAACUUGAGCUUGCGUUUUAUAUAAACUAAACAACAACUCUUAGCAACGGAUAUCUUGGUUCUC